UACGUAGGUGGCAAGCGUUGUCCGGAUUUACUGGGCGUAAAGGGCGCGUAGGCGGCCAUUCAAGUCAGAGGUGAAAGCCCAAGGCUCAACCUUGGAACUGCCUUUGAUACUGUUUGGCUUGAGACCGGUAGAGGUAAGUGGAACUGCGAGUGUAGAGGUGAAAUUCGUAGAUAUUCGCAAGAACACCAGUGGCGAAGGCGGCUCACUGGCCCGGUACUGACGCUGAGAUGCGAAAGCGUGGGGAGCAAACAGG
rnacentral:rRNA from 1 species